AAUGAACGUUGGCGGCGUGGAUUAGGCAUGCAAGUCGAGCGAGAACCCCGCAAGGGGGGACAGCGGCGAAAGGGACAGUAAUGUGUAGAUUAUCUGCCCUCAGGUCCGGGAUAGCUGCGGGAAACUGCAGGUAAUACCGGAUAACAUCUCCGGAUCAAAGGUGUGAUUCCGCCUGAGGAUGAGUCUGCAUCCUAUUAGCUAGUUGGUGGGGUAAUGGCCUACCAAGGCAUUGAUGGGUAGCAGGUGUGAGAGCACGACCUGCGUCAUUGGGACUGAGACACUGCCCAGACACCUACGGGUGGCUGCAGUCGAGAAUCUUCGGCAAUGGGCGCAAGCCUGACCGAGCGACGCCGCGUGUGGGAUGAAGGCCUUCGGGUUGUAAACCACUGUCAGAGGGGAUGAAAUGCAGGUGGGUUCUCCCAUCUGUUUGACAUAGCCUCAGAGGAAGGACGGGCUAGGUUCGUG
rnacentral:rRNA from 1 species